UACGUAGGGGGCUAGCGUUGUCCGGACUUACUGGGCGUAAAGCGCGCGUAGGCGGGUCUGUGUGUCGAUUGUGAAAGCCCUGGGCUUAACCUGGGAAUGGGCAGUCGAAACUGCAGAUCUUGAAUGUCUGAGAGGAUGGCGGAAUUCCCGGUGUAGUAGUGAAAUGCGUAGAUAUCUGGAGGAACACCGGUGGCGAAGGCGGCAUCCUCGG
rnacentral:rRNA from 1 species